rnacentral:rRNA from 1 species
UACAGAGGGGCAAGCGUUGUUCGGAAUUACUGGGCGUAAAGGGCGCGUAGGCGGCCCGCUAAGUCGAACGUGAAAUCCCCGAGCUCAACUCGGGAACUGCGUCCGAUACUGGUGGGCUUGAAUCCGGGAGAGGGAUGCGGAAUUCCAGGUGUAGCGGUGGAAAUGCGUAGAUAUCUGGAGGAACACCGGUGGCGAAGGCGGCAUCCUGGACCGGCAUUGACGCUGAGGCGCGAAAAGCUAGGGGAGCAAACGGGG